UACGAAGGGGGCUAGCGUUGCUCGGAAUUACUGGGCGUAAAGGGCGCGUAGGCGGACAGUUUAGUCAGAGGUGAAAGCCCAGGGCUCAACCUUGGAAUUGCCUUUGAUACUGGUUGUCUUGAGUUCGGGAGAGGUGAGUGGAAUGCCGAGUGUAGAGGUGAAAUUCGUAGAUAUUCGGCGGAACACCAGUGGCGAAGGCGACUCACUGGCCCGAUACUGACGCUGAGGCGCGAAAGCGUGGGGAGCGAACAGG
rnacentral:rRNA from 1 species